rnacentral:rRNA from 1 species
CCCUACGGGGUGCAGCAGGCGCGAAAACUCCGCAAUGCUCGCAAGAGCGACGGGGGGACCCCAAGUGCCCCCGCACUGCAUGGGCUUUUGCGGAGUGUAAACAGCUCCGCGAAUAAGGGCUGGGCAAGACCGGUGCCAGCCGCCGCGGUAA